CCUGGCUUAGGAUGAACGCUAGCGACAGGCCUAACACAUGCAAGUCAGGGGCAGCACAAGGAGCAAUCUGAGGUGGCGACCGGCGCACGGGUGAGUAACACGUAUGCAACCUGCCUGUAAGCGGGGAAUAACCCGUUGAAAGACGGACUAAUACCGCAUAAUACUAAAUUACUGCAUGGUAAUUUAUUUAAACAUUUAUGGCUUACAGAUGGGCAUGCGCAUGAUUAGCUAGUUGGAGAGGUAACGGCUCCCCAAGGCAACGAUCAUUAGGGGUUCUGAGAGGAAGGUCCCCCCACACUGGUACUGAGACACGGACCAGACUCCUACGGGAGGCAGCAGUGAGGAAUAUUGGUCAAUGGACGAGAGUCUGAACCAGCCAAGUCGCGUGCAGGAAGAAUUGUCCUAUGGAUUGUAAACUGCUUUUGCAGGGGAAUAAAGUGCAUCACGUGUGAUGUUUUGUAUGUACUCUGCGAAUAAGGAUCGGCUAACUCCGUGCCAGCCGCCGC
rnacentral:rRNA from 1 species